AUUAGUUUACUAUUGGAGCGGUUAGUGGCGGACUGGUGAGUAACACGUAAGCAACCUGCCUAUCAGAGGGGAACAACAGUUAGAAAUGACUGCUAAUACCGCAUAUGCCUUAGAAUCACAUGGUUCAAAAGGGAAAGGAGCAAUCCGCUGAUAGAUGGGCUUGCGUCUGAUUAGCUAGUUGGUGGGGUAACGGCCUACCAAGGCGACGAUCAGUAGCCGACCUGAGAGGGUGAUCGGCCACAUUGGAACUGAGACACGGUCCAAACUCC
rnacentral:rRNA from 1 species